UGGUCGUGUGCGGAGAUGUUGGUGCUCUUCGAGACCCCCGCGGGGUUCACCCUAUUCAAGGUGCUCGACGAGGGGAAGCUCGACAAGGUCGAGGAUCUAUGGAAGGAGUUCACGACGUCGGACUCAGCGAGAAAGGUGGUCGAGCUGAAGGCUUUCAACAAGUUUGAGAACACAUCUGAUGCCCUAUCCGCGGCAACCCUGAUUAUUGAUAGCAAGCCUAGCAAGGGUCUGCGCAAGUUCUUGCAGAAACAUUGUGAGGGUGAAACAUUAGUAGUAGCUGAUUCUAAGCUUGGAAAUGCUAUAAAAGAAAAGCUGGUCAGUAGUAUUUCCUUGUUUUUUUUAACUUUUUGUGAAUGGCCAGCACUCGUGACAUUUUAAUUGUGCUGCCGAAAAUUGACUGCCUUCACAAUAGUGUUGUGAUGGAGCUGAUGAGAGGACUGAGAAAUCAGCUUACCGAGCUUAUAACUGGGUUGGGUGCACAAGACCUUGGUCCAAUGAGCUUGGGAUUGUCCCACAGCUUGUCUAGGUAUAAGCUGAAGUUCAGCCCUGAGAAGGUUGAUACAAUGAUCAUUCAAGACAUUGGAUUAUUGGAUGAUCUUGACAAGGAGCUUAACACUUAUGCCAUGAGAGUUCGUGAAUGGUAUGGCUGGCACUUUCCAGAGCUCACCAAAAUAGUUACAGAUAAUAUACAGUAUGCCAAAGUUGUGAAGAUGAUGGGCAACAGAGUUAAUGCAGUCAACCUUGACUUCUCUAAGGUGAUUAUUGACAUCUAAAUAUGAUAUACAAUUCAUAUAAAAGACAUUGUUUAGUAAGGUCCGUUGUUUUCAGAUAUUGUCAGAUGAAGAGCUAGAAACACAGCUAAAGGAGGCAGCAAUAAUAUCCAUGGGAACAGAAGUUAGUGACCUUGACUUAUCGAAUAUCAGAGAGCUAUGUGAUCAAGUGCUGGCCAUUUCUGAGUACAGAGCCCAGCUGUAUGACUAUUUAAGAAGCAGGAUGAACACUAUUGCACCAAAUUUGACAGCACUGGUGGGUGAAUUAGUUGGCGCUCGCCUUAUUGCACAUGGUGGAAGUUUGCUAAAUUUGGCCAAGCAGCCUGGUAGCACAAUUCACAUACUUGGUGCAGAGAAGGCUUUAUUCAGAGCUCUAAAGACAAAGCAUUCUACACCUAAGUAUGGCCUCAUCUACCAUGCAUCCUUAAUUGGCAAGGCUUCUCAAAAGCACAAGGGAAAAA